GUAGCGACCCGCUCUUUUAUCAGUAGUUAAUUCCAGUUUUCGUGUUUAUUUAUCUAUCUUUUGGUAAAUGAAGCACUUUAUGUUUUCAACUAUGUUUCUGAAUUUUGUAUUUUGGAGACAGAGUCACUACACUAGCAGUAUGCAUUUAUUUAUCUUCGCGUGUUUAAAGACCGCGACGAAAAUCUUUGAGUCGAUGAAUAAUUAUUAUUCAAAGUUAUAAUCAAC
rnacentral:lncRNA from 1 species